rnacentral:rRNA from 1 species
UGCUUANGAAUUUGCCCAGUCGAGGGGGAUAACUAUUGGAAACGAUAGCUAAUACCGCAUACGCCCUACGGGGGAAAAGAGGGGACCUUCGGGCCUUCUGCGAUUGGAUAAGCCUAAGUGAGAUUAGCUAGUUGGUGAGGUAAUGGCUCACCAAGGCGACGAUCUCUAGCUGGUCUGAGAGGAUGAUCAGCCACACUGGAACUGAGACACGGUCCAGACUCCUACGGGAGGCAGCAGUGGGGAAUAUUGCACAAUGGGCGCAAGCCUGAUGCAGCCAUGCCGCGUGUAUGAAGAAGGCCUUCGGGUUGUAAAGUACUUUCAGCAGUGAGGAAGGNUCAUGCGUUAAUAGCGUAUGGAUUUGACGUUAGCUGCAGAAGAANCACCGGCUAACUCCGUGCCAGCAGCCGCGGUAAUACGGAGGGUGCGAGCGNUAAUCGGAAUUACUGGGCGUAAAGCGCAUGCAGGUGGUUUGNUAAGUCAGAUGUGAAAGCCCCAGGCUCAACCUGGGAAGGUCAUUUGAAACUGGCAAGCUAGAGUACUGNANAGGGGGUA